AGAGUUUGAUCCUGGCUCAGAUUGAACGCUGGCGGCAUGCCUUACACAUGCAAGUCGGACGGCAGCGCGGGAGCAAUCCUGGCGGCGAGUGGCGAACGGGUGAGUAAUACAUCGGAACAUGUCCAGUAGUGGGGGAUAGCCUGGCGAAAGCCGGAUUAAUACCGCAUACGAUCUAUGGAUGAAAGCGGGGGAUCGCAAGACCUCGCGCUAUUGGGGUGGCCGAUGGCGGAUUAGCUAGUUGGUGGGGUAAAGGCCUACCAAGGCGACGAUCCGUAGCUGGUCUGAGAGGACGACCAGCCACACUGGGACUGAGACACGGCCCAGACUCCUACGGGAGGCAGCAGUGGGGAAUUUUGGACAAUGGGGGCAACCCUGAUCCAGCAAUGCCGCGUGUGUGAAGAAGGCCUUCGGGUUGUAAAGCACUUUUGUCCGGGAAGAAAUCCCCUGCCCUAAUACGGCGGGGGGAUGACGGUACCGGAAGAAUAAGCACCGGCUAACUACGUGCCAGCAGCCGCGGUAAA
rnacentral:rRNA from 1 species